rnacentral:rRNA from 1 species
UCAAAAACAUGUCCUUUUGUUUAAAUAUAAGGUCUAACCUGCCCAAUGAUUAAUAUUUAAUGGCCGCGGUAUUUUAACUGUGCUAAGGUAGCAUAAUCAUUUGUCUUUUAAUUAAAGGCUAGAAUGAAUGGUUGGACGAAAUGUAAGCUUUCUUUAAUUUAAUUUAUGAAUUUAAUUUUUUAGUUAAAAAGCUGAAAUUUAUUUGAGGGACGAGAAGACCCUAUAGAUCUUUAUAUUUAUGAUUAUUAUUUAUUAUAGUAUAUUAAUUAAUUUAAUAAUUAUAAUUAUUUGAUUGGGGUGAUUAUAGAAUUUAAUCAUCUUCAAUUUUUAUUUUUCAUAAAUUAGUGUAUUUUUGAUCCAGAAAUUUUGAUUAAAAGAUAAAGUUACCUUAGGGAUAACAGCGUAAUUUUUUCGGAGAGUUCAAAUCGAUGAAAGAGUUUGCGACCUCGAUGUUGGAUUAAAAUAAGUUUUAGGUGUAGUAGUUUAAAAACUAGGUCUGUUCGACCUUUAAUUUUUUACAUGAUCUGA